UACAGAGGUCCCAAGCGUUGUUCGGAUUCACUGGGCGUAAAGGGUGCGUAGGUGGUGGGGUAAGUCGGAUGUGAAAGCUCGGAGCUCAACUCCGAAAUGGCAUUGGAAACUACCCUGCUAGAGGGUCGGAGGGGGGACUGGAAUUCUCGGUGUAGCAGUGAAAUGCGUAGAUAUCGAGAGGAACACCGGUGGCGAAGGCGGGUCUCUGGGCCGAUACUGACGCUGAGGAGCGAAAGCGUGGGGAGCGAACAGG
rnacentral:rRNA from 1 species